rnacentral:rRNA from 1 species
UACAGAGGUGGCAAGCGUUGUUCGGAAUUACUGGGCGUAAAGGGCGCGUAGGCGGCCCGUCAAGUCCCGUGUGAAAGCCCCCGGCUCAACCGGGGAACGGCGCGGGAAACUAGCAGGCUUGAGUUCGGGAGAGGGAAGCGGAAUUCCGGGUGUAGCGGUGAAAUGCGCAGGAUAUCCGGAGGAACACCGGUGGCGAAGGCGGCUCCUGGACCGACACUGACGCUGAGGCGCGAAGCUAGGGAGCAAACGGG